rnacentral:lncRNA from 1 species
UUGUGGGAUGAAGGAACGAUAUCCUCAAGCUUCUUUCCAUUAAAGAUGUCAAUGGCAACAAAGUGACACUUUGCGUGACCAUGCUUCCCAGUCUUGGAGGUGGAGACCUCAACAACCUAGCACAAAGAUUAAACCAAAAUGAUUCUUCAGACAUGCUGGACGACAAAGCAAUUUCUGAUGGUAGGCAGGAAUUAUUGAGUUUGGAGCAGCAAUUAGACAAUCAGAUGCGCAUAGUAAAACAAAGCAACAAUAACCCAACAGGGCACAGCUUUAAACUGAUACAAGAACAACUCCUGCGUGGUAGUAGGUACAUAACCAGAAACAGUUAAAGUACUUAAAUUAGCGUCUGAAAACUGAAUAAAUAGCAUGCCUCAGCAAACUAUGAAAGCUACCAACUAUGCCAACUACUAAUUAAAGAGUUUGCAAAUUCCCUGUAAAACGGACAUCGCCUUUAAUUAGCACCUUGCCAAAUCUAGCAGCGUUUUAAGAUUUACUGAAACAGGAUUCCUAAAAUUAAUUCAGGAGUGAGGACACAGUCAGAGCUAAUGAAGAGAUCCUAAGCCAUAGCGAUGGAUAUAGGAAAUCAAGGUAAAUUUGUUAUCAUGAACCCGUGUAUAUCCAUCCACAUCUACAGCAAAGCCUGGUACUUGGACUUGUAGAUCUAACAAGUUGCAAAUCUGCACCCGACUAGCACAGAUCGCCGCAGCAGAUUCAGAGACGCAUCCAUCAACAAACCAGACAUAAAAUAUUUCCUAUGGUAAUAAGAACAGAUCGGGAAAGGCACAGACCUUGCAGGGACGGGCCUUGAUGACGAUGUGUCCACCCUUGCGGAUGGCGCCAGCCUGCUGCGGGUAGGUCUUGGAGGCGCCGGAGUCGGCCUUGGACUCGAAGUGGUGCUCAUCGGUGUCCGACAUCUCCGACGAUCCUCCUGAGUCCUGGAACAACAACGAGGAGGUCAACGGAAAGAGGAGGGUGAGAAGGGCAAACUCGAAAUCGACUGGAUUUUCCGGCGGAUCUGGACUAGCAAGGGGGCGCUGCUCACCGGGGGCAAGUGGGGUGGUGGAGACGAGACGCAGCGGCAGCGAGGGGCGGAUGGAUGGAUCCGGAGGCUAGGGUUCUUG